UUGGGGAAGUUCAGUCCCAAACCAGCUGAUGAUGCCUCUAACCAGGGAUUCAAUGACAUUCUUCGCCGCAGAUUUCUUAGACAAGUGCGAUUAAAGGAAAGGACGAGAGCAGCUGGCUUAACUCAGAAAAGAUUAUUUUCAGAUUUAAUCAAUGAAGAGGAGGCAGAGCAGCUUAGGGCCUCUGUUGAUUUUCUUGUUGAGCUUUGUGACACCAGUUCUCCUGUGAGAUUGUGUUGCUGAUCUUUAUGAUUUACUUUCAUCAUUUGUUGGUUGUUUAUAAAGUUCUUUUCUAAAUUUGUAACUUCGAACUUUGAAGGGGGAGUCUAAUUUCACCAGCUGG